AGCUCUAAUCAAAUGUCAACAUAAAAAUGCAAAAAAUCAAACGUCUUGCUCUUAAAUAAAAACCCAAAUUCUUAAAAUUAUUUCAAAUGUAUCACUUUUCGGGUAUAACAGAGUGAUUGAGAAAUCACCGUGAAGUCAACUCAAUGCAAAUUACAUAGUUUUUAUAGAAAAAUGUUGAUACUCAUCGCUACUGCCUGCUUUUACCUCAUCUUUGGAUUUCUCAUUUUGUAUUUAAUAUGCCUUCUUAUAGUAAUAUGCUUGUCUAUUUUCUACGGCUUCGAUCCGAUGAGCUACUGAAUUAUUUUGUAUGGAAGAGAAACACGUUUGAGAUUGCGAAAAUCGGAAAAGUCAUAAGGCGCGGCAAGUCAAGUGCGUUCUGAGAAGUAUCAUUAAUUUCCCGUUUCGCCGGCAUCAACCCCGAAAAGCUCUCAGACAGGAGGCUUCUAUUGUGUGACCAAGACCCCUUCGUGGCCUUUCU